rnacentral:rRNA from 1 species
CCCUUAGAUGUCCGGGGCCGCACGCGCGCUACACUGAAGGAAUCAGCGUGGCUUUCUCCCUGACCCGAAAGGGUUGGGAAACCCGUUGAAUCUCCUUCGUGAUAGGGAUUGGGGCUUGAAAUUGUUCCCCAUGAACGAGGAAUUCCCAGUAAGCGCGAGUCAUAAGCUCGCGUUGAUUACGUCCCUGCCCUUUGUACACACCGCCCGUCGCUACUACCGAUUGAAUGUUCCGGUGAACACUUUGGAAUAGUGCCUUUGUAUGGGGAAACUUGUACUUGGAUACUGUAAAGUUGUGUAAACCUUAACAUUUAGAGGAAGGAGAAGUCGUAACA